AGAAUCCUGCGAUGUUCGUAACGGUUUUAAGUUGUUUUAAACCAAUGACUGUUUCUAGGGAGACCUACAUUGAAGUGUGGCUGACAUGCCCUCGAAAGGGGACCUCAAAUACACUUCUGCGGACACCCACCUGCGAGAGCGGGUUUGAAGCACCAAAACCGGACGGCAUAGGCGGGUUUUUU
rfam:Paenibacillus ferrarius strain CY1 CY1_scaffold20, whole genome shotgun sequence.